rnacentral:rRNA from 1 species
UACGUAGGGCGCAAGCGUUGUCCGGAAUUAUUGGGCGUAAAGAGCUCGUAGGCGGCUUGUCACGUCGGGUGUGAAAGCCCCGGGGCUUAACCCCGGGUCUGCAGUCGAUACGGGCAGGCUAGAGUUCGGUAGGGGAGAUCGGAAUUCCUGGUGUAGCGGUGAAAUGCGCAGAUAUCAGGAGGAACACCGGUGGCGAAGGCGGAUCUCUGGGCCGAUACUGACGCUGAGGAGCGAAAGCGUGGGGAGCGAACAGG